CCCGCUGAACUUAAGCAUAUCAAUAAGCGGAGGAAAAGAAACUAACAAGGAUUCCCCUAGUAACUGCGAGUGAAGCGGGAAGAGCUCAAAUUUGAAAUCUGGCGGUCCCUUGGGCUGUCCGAGUUGUAAUCUAGAGAAGUGCUACCUGUGCUGGACCGUGUACAAGUCUCCUGGAAUGGAGCAUCACAGAGGGUGAGAAUCCCGUCUUUGACACGGACUGCCAUGUGCGAUAUGGUGCGCUCUCGAAGAGUCGAGUUGUUUGGGAAUGCAGCUCAAAACGGGUGGUAAAUGCCAUCUAAAGCUAAAUAUUGGCGAGAGACCGAUAGCGAACAAGUACCGUGAGGGAAAGAUGAAAAGAACUUUGGAAAGAGAGUUAAACAGUACGUGAAAUUGCUGAAAGGGAAACGCUUGAAGCCAGUCGCGUCGGCUGGAAAUCAGUCUUGCUUCUGCUUGACGUACUUUCUGGUUCGACGGGUCAGCAUCAGUUUUGACCGCCGGAUAAAGUCGUUGGGAAUGUGGCAUCUUCAUGAUGUGUUAUAGCCCGUCGUCGCAUACGGUGGUCGGGAUUGAGGAACUCAGCACGCCGCAAGGCCGGGUCGUUUCGACCACGUUCGUGCUUAGGAUGCUGGCAUAAUGGCUUUAAUCGACCCGUCUUGAAACACGG
rnacentral:rRNA from 1 species